CCUUGGGAUUACCAGGUGUUUCUAUUCGGUGAUCAGCACCGAACACAGAGGACUCACCAUGGAGUUUGGGCUGACCUGGGUUUUUCUUGUUGCUAUUUUAAAAGGUGUCCAGUGUGAGGUGCAGCUGGUAGAGUCUGGGGGAGGCUUGGUUCGGCAUGGGGGGUCCCUGAGACUCUCCUGCGCAGCCUCUGGAUUCACCCUCAGUAGCUAUGACAUGGAUUGGGUUCGCCAGGCUCCAGGGAAGGGUCUGGAGUGGGUCUCAGCUAUUAGUGCUGGUGGUAGCACAUACUAUGGAGACUCCGUGAAGGGCAGAUUCACCAUCUCCAGAGACAAUGGCAAGAACUUCUUGUAUCUUCAAAUGAACAGUCUGAGAGCUGAAGACACGGCUGUCUAUUACUGUGCGAAAGAAACACAGUGA